rnacentral:lncRNA from 1 species
UCUCAUCUCUCUACGGUCAAAAGUAACCUGGAACCCUUGAUUGUGAGACAAUGUGACCAUCGGUUUCUAAGGUUUUUGUAUUGAUUCUUGAAGGAGUCAUCGGAACUGGCGGCACUUGAAGCAUCCAAAGGAUUCGAGAGACGAUAAUGUUCCCUGUUUCAAAUCUUUUUGAGGUGCUCAGUUUUUCUGUCGACAAGGUGGUUGUGGCGUUUGAUUUAUAGGGUUAGGGUUUUCCAGAAUUGG